rnacentral:lncRNA from 10 species
CACCACACCAGCUAAUUUUUCUUUUCUUUUUUUUUUUCUGUAGAGAUGGGAGCCUCACUGUAUUGCCCAGGCUGGUCUUGAACUCCGGAGCUCAAGUGAUCGUCUUGCUUCAGCCUUGCAAAAUGAUGGUGAAGCUGCAUCAUUGUCUGGGGUAAAUACCUGAGGUUCGUUGUCUCACGCCAAGGGAAUCAAGGACGUGGACACACAAGAAAUGGAGUCCCUGUCUGACCGGGCCAUGUUGUAUGUUCCUUGCUGUACACGUGGUUGACAAAGAAAAGGGAAGAUGGAGCUGCGAUGUUGGACAUGCCUGGCCCCCAGGUAGCUUUUUCCUAUUGGCACAGCUGCUGGCAUUCACCCGUGCAAACUU